rnacentral:tRNA from 1 species
AGAAGAUAGUUUAAUUUAGAAUUCUGGCUUUGGGAGCCAGGGGUGGGAGUUAAAAUCUCCCUUUCUGG